rnacentral:lncRNA from 1 species
AGAAAUUCUUUGCUCAGAGAUUCCUUCAUUGUAACUUCACAUUUUAGAUCUUUUGGUAGAUGAAGAAAUUUCAAUCUCCAAGGGAGUCCCACUCACAAAGUAGAUUAUCCCCUCUUUCCUGCUUUUCAAUAUCUUUGGAGAAAUAUAUACUGUCUGAAUAUAUAAUUCCCUUACAUGAUUCUUUUAUUGAAAUUUACAGUGACUUUUUCAAUUACAGAACGCUACGACGUUUGUAGACAACCUGCAUUGAACAUCCUUAUUCAGAAAUUAUUGAGAAUGUUGAUGACUGGCCAGAUAAUGAGAUGCGAUGUGAAUUCAAAGAUGAUAUUGUAAGAACAACCGAUCAUGUUGAAAAUAUGGAGUUUGUCGAUCAGUGUUGAAGAAGGAAUGGUAUUUCAAAAUGUGACCUCUAAAAUCAAUUGUAGAAAAUGGGCAAUUCUCAGCUGUUUAGUUUGAAGAAGAAGAAGAAGAAAUAUAGUUGUUUACAUUUCCAAUGAAGAAAGCUGCUAACUUGAGACCCACAAAUCCAGAAUAUUCAGAAUUGAAAAUAUCGGUGUUUUAAAAUACUAGCAUUGAAUUUAAGAUUGUAGAAAAUAACUGAUACUGUUACCAUGUGAUUAUUACGAUACCAUGUGGUAAAAGUCUCAGAAUUCAAAAACACUUAACAAUUUUCAGCCCCACUGCACACUAAACACGUUUUUGGUCACUGAAAAGCCCAGAACAGUAGUAGAACAGCAUGGAAGUGGAAAAUUACAUGUUGGUCCUUAAAUUAAAUCCCAACAUUUACAAGUAGGUGACCAAUAAGAAGGGUUGCCCGGAGGCCGGAGGGGAUGGGAAAAUAAGAGGGGGGCUCAUCGAUGUUGAAGCGUCG